rnacentral:rRNA from 1 species
UGGUAGUNCACGCCGUAAACGAUGUCGAUUUGGAGGCUGUGUCCUUGAGACGUGGCUUCCGGAGNUAACGCGUUAAAUCGACCGCCUGGGGAGUACGGCCGCAAGGUUAAAACUCAAAUGAAUUGACGGGGGCCCGCACAAGCGGUGGAGCAUGUGGUUUAAUUCGAUGCAACGCGAAGAACCUUACCUACUCUUGACAUCCACGGAACUUGCCAGAGAUGGCUUGGUGCCUUCGGGAACCGUGAGACAGGUGCUGCAUGGCUGUCGUCAGCUCGUGUUGUGAAAUGUUGGGUUAAGUCCCGCAACGAGCGCAACCCUUAUCCUUUGUUGCCAGCACUUCGGGUGGGAACUCAAAGGAGACUGCCGGUGAUAAGCCGGAGGAAGGUGGGGAUGACGUCAAGUCAUCAUGGCCCUUACGAGUAGGGCUACACACGUGCUACAAUGGCGUAUACAAAGAGAAGCAAACUCGCGAGAGCCAGCGGACCUCAUAAAGUACGUCGUAGUCCGGAUUGGAGUCUGCAACUCGACUCCAUGAAGUCGGAAUCGCUAGUAAUCGUAGAUCAGAAUGCUACGGUGAAUACGUUCCCGGGCCUUGUACACACCGCCCGUCACACCAUGGGAGUGGGUUGCAAAAGAAGUAGGUAGCUUAACCUUCGGGAGGGCGCUUACCACUUUGUGAUUCAUGACUGGGGUG